rnacentral:misc_RNA from 1 species
GCGAUGAUGAUGUUGAUUUUGACAUAGGGAAGAAGAACAAGAACAGAACUUUGGAGAAACCCAUGAAAAGCAGAAGUGACAGUGAUGAUUCUACUACUGAUGAUGAUAUUGAUUAUGACAAUGAGAAGUUGAACAAGAAUGUAACUUCAAAGAAGUACAAGAGAAUUAGAAGGCAUGGCAUCAGAGCUCGGACUGGGAUGUGAGUUUCAGCUGCCCAUAAGGCUGUAUAAUUAAACUCGUAUUAGGUUAAAAAUACAAAACUAAUUGUUAAAUGACAACCAUAUGGUUGCACAUGAGGAGGGAGUGUUAGGAUUGUAAAUCUCACAUUGGAAAAAUAUAAAAAUGAAAGGAUAAAUAUAAAUAAUUAGAUUGCAACAUUGACUUAAAUAGUUAUUUUGAUAUGUCAAACAAUCUAGUCACUCAUAUAAGCCCAAAUUAAAAAAGAACUAAAUUAUAAUUUGACCAGCAUUCUCCAAAUUUAACAAAGUGCAACUAUGUGAUCUAAGCAUACUGUUAGAUGUACUAAAAUCCAUUCUCUUGGCACUGUUACCAAUAAUUCCCUAAAAGAAAACAACUUCCAAACUCUAAUAGUUGUAAUCCUUUGCAUGCUAUAUCCUUGUGUAGUAAUAUUGCUGCACUAAGCAUGUCCUCCUUACACAUUUUGUAGAGAAGAUCAACACAAUUCAGAUGACAUUUGGUUUUGACUUGGUCCCAUCUUCUUUCUCUUUCCUAGUAAAGCUAUAAAGGGAAUUUACCCCUAAAAGCAUGGUUAGAAGGGAAAGCAAACCCAACUAUGGUCAACCUCACUACAGCAAAGAUUUCACCUCUCAAGAAAGUUGAGACUAAAACAAAGGGAAUGAGUUGAUUUGAACAAAAGAAUUUUUUCCACUGAACAAAUGUCAAAGUGACUGUGGAAUUGAUUGCCCUACUUCUUUAUUAUUACUGCAUCGGUCAAAAUGAUUUAGAAAAGGAUACCACCAGACCUGACAGAACCUAACUAGCCUUAAUUUGCACUCAAGCAAGUGCAGCUAACUUUUCUUACACUACCUUCCCUCAGACUUACUAAACCACCAACAUCAGCAAAAGAAAGAGCUUUUGCCUGGAAGGAAAAAGAAAGAAAAGAUAAUCAAUUGGACUAAGAACAUUGUAUCGACAAUGGUUGUUGUCAAUCGAUAUCUAAUUUUACAGUUCUUGUCAAUGUAUAUUCAACUUUCAAUCAUGGAUUGCAGUUGAAAGCAACAAUAAUGACUGAACCAUAGUUGCCAGAUUAAGAAGAAGAAGAAACCAUGGUUGGAUGAUCGAGAUAAGAUGGGGCUCUUUUGAUUUUUUCCUCCUUUUUCUAUGUUUUGGUGGACUAUUGGUUUGUUUCUGUUUUCUAUGUUAGGGGGGUAGGUGGACCUUGGGUUUCGAAAGAGUAUCAACAUAUAAUACACACUUUUAAUUAAUUUAUUAUUGGAAAGGUAAGAAUUUUUAAGAAUUAUAAAUACUAUUAAUUGUUAAU